GUGGGGUGACGGCCUACCAAGGCGACGACGGGUAGCCGGCCUGAGAGGGUGUCCGGCCACACUGGGACUGAGAUACGGCCCAGACUCCUACGGGAGGCAGCAGUGGGGAAUAUUGCACAAUGGGCGCAAGCCUGAUGCAGCGACGCCGCGUGGGGGAUGACGGCCUUCGGGUUGUAAACCUCUUUCACCAUCGACGAAGGUCCGGGUUUUUCUCGGAUUGACGGUAGGUGGAGAAGAAGCACCGGCCAACUACGUGCCAGCAGCCGCGGUAAUACGUAGGGUGCGAGCGUUGUCCGGAAUUACUGGGCGUAAAGAGCUCGUAGGUGGUUUGUCGCGUUGUUCGUGAAAUCUCACGGCUUAACUGUGAGCGUGCGGGCGAUACGGGCAGACUAGAGUACUGCAGGGGAGACUGGAAUUCCUGGUGUAGCGGUGGAAUGCGCAGAUAUCAGGAGGAACACCGGUGGCGAAGGCGGGUCUCUGGGCAGUAACUGACGCUGAGGAGCGAAAGCGUGGGGAGCGAACAGGAUUAGAUACCCUGGUAGUCCACGCCGUAAACGGUGGGUACUAGGUGUGGGUUUCCUUCCUUGGGAUCCGUGCCGUAGCUAACGCAUUAAGUA
rnacentral:rRNA from 1 species